rnacentral:rRNA from 1 species
GCAAGUCGAGCGAACAGAAGGGAGCUUGCUCCCGGAUGUUAGCGGCGGACGGGUGAGUAACACGUGGGUAACCUGCCUGUAAGACUGGGAUAACUCCGGGAAACCGGAGCUAAUACCGGAUAGUUCCUUGAACCGCAUGGUUCAAGGAUGAAAGACGGUUUCGGCUGUCACUUACAGAUGGACCCGCGGCGCAUUAGCUAGUUGGUGGGGUAAUGGCUCACCAAGGCGACGAUGCGUAGCCGACCUGAGAGGGUGAUCGGCCACACUGGGACUGAGACACGGCCCAGACUCCUACGGGAGGCAGCAGUAGGGAAUCUUCCGCAAUGGACGAAAGUCUGACGGAGCAACGCCGCGUGAGUGAUGAAGGUUUUCGGAUCGUAAAGCUCUGUUGUUAGGGAAGAACAAGUGCGAGAGUAACUGCUCGCACCUUGACGGUACCUAACCAGAAAGCCACGGCUAACUACGUGCCAGCAGCCGCGGUAAUACGUAGGUGGCAAGCGUUGUCCGGAAUUAUUGGGCGUAAAGGGCUCGCAGGCGGUUUCUUAAGUCUGAUGUGAAAGCCCCCGGCUCAACCGGGGAGGGUCAUUGGAAACUGGGAAACUUGAGUGCAGAAGAGGAGAGUGGAAUUCCACGUGUAGCGGUGAAAUGCGUAGAGAUGUGGAGGAACACCAGUGGCGAAGGCGACUCUCUGGUCUGUAACUGACGCUGAGGAGCGAAAGCGUGGGGAGCGAACAGGAUUAGAUACCCUGGUAGUCCACGCCGUAAACGAUGAGUGCUAAGUGUUAGGGGGUUUCCGCCCCUUAGUGCUGCAGCUAACGCAUUAAGCACUCCGCCUGGGGAGUACGGUCGCAAGACUGAAACUCAAAGGAAUUGACGGGGGCCCGCACAACCCGUGGAGCAUGUGGUUUAAUUCGAAGCAACGCGAAGAACCUUACCAGGUCUUGACAUCCUCUGACAACCCUAGAGAUAGGGCUUUCCCUUCGGGGACAGAGUGACAGGUGGUGCAUGGUUGUCGUCA